GCCCCCGUCGCCCAACUGGAUAGGGCAACGCUCUUCUAAGGCAUCAGGUGUAGGUUCGAAUCCUGCCGGGGGCGCCA
rnacentral:tRNA from 1 species